rnacentral:ncRNA from 2 species
AAUAAUUAUCAAGAAUCUCCAGAGGGGAUAGCAACCUGCAAAAACAAGCAAGGUGCUACAAUAGAUAAGCCGGAUCUUCCGGAAAAAAUGUUUAUAUC